UACGGAAGGUCCGGGCGUUAUCCGGAUUUAUUGGGUUUAAAGGGAGCGCAGGCGGACGUUUAAGUCAGUUGUGAAAUACGGCGGCUCAACCGUCGGGGUGCAGUUGAUACUGGACGUCUUGAGUGCACACAAGGAUGCCGGAAUUCAUGGUGUAGCGGUGAAAUGCUCAGAUAUCAUGAAGAACUCCGAUCGCGAAGGCAGGUGUCCGGGGUGCAACUGACGCUGAGGCUCGAAAGUGCGGGUAUCAAACAGG
rnacentral:rRNA from 1 species